CCCUACGGGACGCAGCAGUAGGGAAUCUUCCACGAUGGGCGAAAGCCUGAUGGAGCAACGCCGCGUGGGUGAAGAAGGUCUUCGGAUCGUAAAGCCCUGUUGUUAGAGAAGAAAGUGCGUGAGAGUAACUGUUCACGUUUCGACGGUAUCUAACCAGAAAGCCACGGCUAACUACGUGCCAGCAGCCGCGGUAAUACGUAGGUGGCAAGCGUUAUCCGGAUUUAUUGGGCGUAAAGAGAACGCAGGCGGUCUUUUAAGUCUGAUGUGAAAGCCUUCGGCUUAACCGGAGUAGUGCAUUGGAAACU
rnacentral:rRNA from 1 species